GCGAGAUUGGUCAAGUGGUUAAGACGUCCCCUUUACACGGGGAAGAUCACCGGUUCGAACCCGGUAUUUCGCU
rnacentral:tRNA from 1 species